rnacentral:tRNA from 1 species
GCGGAUGUGGCGGAAUUGGUAGACGCACUAGAUUUAGGUUCUAGCGUUUUCGGACGUGAAGGUUCAAGUCCUUUCAUCCGCACCU